ACGCACGCUGGCGGCGUGCCUAAUACCUGCCAGUCGCACGCUUCUUUCCUCCCGAGUGCUUGCACUCAAUUGGAAAGAGGCGUGGCGGACGGGUGAGUAACACGUGGGUAACCUACCCAUCAGAGGGGGAUAACACUUGGAAACAGGUGCUAAUACCGCAUAACAGUUUAUGCCGCAUGGCAUAAGAGUGAAAGGCGCUUUCGGGUGUCGCUGAUGGAUGGACCCGCGGUGCAUUAGCUAGUUGGUGAGGUAACGGCUCACCAAGGCAACGAUGCAUAGCCGACCUGAGAGGGUGAUCGGCCACACUGGGACUGAGACACGGCCCAGACUCCUACGGGAGGCAGCAGUAGGGAAUCUUCGGCAAAGGACGAAAGUCUGACCGAGCAACGCCGCGUGAGUGAAGAAGGUUUUCGGAUCGUAAAACUCUGUUGUUAGAGAAGAACAAGGACGUUAGUAACUGAACGUCCCCUGACGGUAUCUAACCAGAAAGCCACGGCUAACUACGUG
rnacentral:rRNA from 1 species